AUGAAGAACGCAGCGAAAUGCGAUAAGUAAUGUGAAUUGCAGAAUUCAGUGAAUCAUCGAGUCUUUGAACGCACAUUGCGCCCCCUGGUAUUCCGGGGGGCAUGCCUGUCCGAGCGUCAUUGCUGCCCUCAAGCACGGCUUGUGUGUUGGGCCCCCGUCCCCGGUUUCCCCCGGGGACGGGCCCGAAAGGCAGCGGCGGCACCGCGUCCGGUCCUCGAGCGUAUGGGGCUUUGUCACCCGCUCUGUAGGCCCGGCCGGCGCCAGCCGACACCCAACUUUAUUUCUAAGGUUGACCUCGGAUCAGGUAGGGAUACCCGCUGAACUUAAGCAUAUCAAUAAGCGGAGGA
rnacentral:misc_RNA from 1 species